GGCUGGUCUGAGUGAAGUGGUGUGUGCAUUGAUCACGGCCAACUGCAGAUUUCUUUGUUCCUUCUUUCCCACUGCUACACUUGACUAGCCUAAA
ensembl:misc_RNA Y_RNA Y RNA